CCCAGCAUGCAGCUGACACUGAGGGCACGGAAGCGUGGGGUAUCAAACAGGAUUAGAUACCCUGGUAGUCCACGCAGUAAACGAUGAAUACUAGCUGUUGGCGAUAUAUGGUCAGCGGUACAGCGAAAGUGUUAAGUAUUCCACCUGGGGAGUACGCCGGCAACGGUGAAACUCAAAGGAAUUGACGGGGGCCCGCACAAGCGGAGGAACAUGUGGUUUAAUUCGAUGAUACGCGAGGAACCUUACCCGGGCUUGAAAGUUAGUGACGGACUGUGAAAGCGGUCUUCCCUUCGGGGCACGAAACUAGGUGCUGCAUGGUUGUCGUCAGCUCGUGCCGUGAGGUGUCGGCUUAAGUGCCAUAACGAGCGCAACCCUUGCCGUUAGUUGCCAGCGGGUAAUGCCGGGAACUCUAGCGGGACUGCUACUGUAAGGUAGAGGAAGGUGGGGAUGACGUCAAAUCAGCACGGCCCUUACGUCCGGGGCGACACACGUGUUACAAUGGUGAGUACAGAGGGUUGCUACCCCGCGAGGGGAUGCUAAUCUCAUAAAACUCAUCUCAGUUCGGAUCGGAGUCUGCAACUCGACUCCGUGAAGCUGGAU
rnacentral:rRNA from 1 species